UCAUUACUGUAAAAAGGGUUGAUGCUGGUAGUUUAUCUACAUGUGCUCACUCUUCUGAUUUAUUUACACCUGUGCACUUAAUUUUUUUUCAAGGGUACUCGCCUUUGGAGCUUAAUAGCCCCUAACCCCUAUAUUGAAGUAAUGGAUGUUUAUCUGCCACAAGGCAAAAUUUUUAAUACAACUUUUAACAACGGAUCUCUUGGCUCUCGCAUCGAUGAAGAACGCAGCGAAAUGCGAUAAGUAAUGUGAAUUGCAGAAUUCAGUGAAUCAUCGAAUCUUUGAACGCACCUUGCGCUCUCUGGUAUUCCGGGGAGCACACCUGUUCGAGUGUUAUUAAGACUAUCAAACAAAGGUGUCUAUCUCUGUUUGGAUUUGGGCUUUGCUGCAUUAAUGUGGCUAGUCUUAAAUAUAUUAGCUGGUCCUUGUUGAGGGUUUUGGUUCUACUCAGCGUGAUAAUUAUCUAACGUUGAGGACAGUUUCAGACCUGGCCAUAGUGAAAACUGGCCAUAGCUCUCUCUGGAUUGCUUCUAAAUUGUCUUGAGGACAAUUGCUUAAUUUCUGACCUCGAAUCAGGUGGGACUACC
rnacentral:rRNA from 1 species